AGGGAAAUAGCUCAGUGGUACAGCACAUGCUUAGCAUGCAUGAGGUUUUGGGUUCAAUCCCCAGUACCUCCA
rnacentral:tRNA from 1 species